rnacentral:sRNA from 1 species
UAAUAUCUUACAGGAUGGAAUUAAGCG